GGGUAUGUGGCGCAAUGGCUAGCGUGCGGUCUUCCGGUACUCAUUACCAAGUUGGCCGUGGUUGCAGGUUCGAGUCCUGUCAUACUCG
rnacentral:tRNA from 2 species